rnacentral:rRNA from 1 species
UCAGGCCUAACACAUGCAAGUCGAGGGGUAACAGGGAGUACUUGUACUUUGCUGACGACCGGCGCACGGGUGCGUAACGCGUAUACAAUCUGCCUUACACUGGGGGAUAGCCUUUAGAAAUGAAGAUUAAUACCCCAUGGUAUGUGCUUGUGGCAUCACAGACACAUUAAAGGUUACGGUGUAAGAUGAGUAUGCGUCCUAUUAGAUAGUUGGUGAGGUAACGGCUCACCAAGUCGACGAUAGGUAGGGGCCCUGAGAGGGGGAUCCCCCACACUGGUACUGAGACACGGACCAGACUCCUACGGGAGGCAGCAGUGAGGAAUAUUGGACAAUGGAGGCAACUCUGAUCCAGCCAUGCCGCGUGCAGGAAGACUGCCCUAUGGGUUGUAAACUGCUUUUAUACGGGAAGAAACACUCCCUCGUGAGGGAGCUUGACGGUACCGUAAGAAUAAGCACCGGCUAACUCCGUGCCAGCAGCCGCGGUAAUACGGAGGGUGCAAGCGUUAUCCGGAAUCAUUGGGUUUAAAGGGUCCGUAGGCGGACAAUUAAGUCAGAGGUGAAAGUCUGCAGCUCAACUGUAGAAUUGCCUUUGAUACUGGUUGUCUUGAAUUAUUGUGAAGUGGUUAGAAUAUGUAGUGUAGCGGUGAAAUGCAUAGAUAUUACUUAGAAUACCAAUUGCGAAGGCAGAUCACUAACAAUA